rnacentral:rRNA from 1 species
GACGAACCGUGCGAACGUUAUUCGGAAUCACUGGGCUUAAAGGGCGCGUAGGCGGGCGGCCAAGUCAGGGGUGAAAUCGUUCGGCCCAACCGGACAAGGGCCCCUGAUACUGGCCGUCUCGAGGGAGGUAGGGGUCGAUGGAACUUCCGGUGGAGCGGUGAAAUGCGUAGAUAUCGGGAGGAACACCAGUGGCGAAGGCGGGUCUCUGGGCAACAACUGACGCUGAGGAGCGAAAGCGUGGGGAGCGAACAGG